CUCCUGAGGAUGUUCAGGAAGAAGGCUCUGCAGGUGGCCCCAGAGCCUGAGGGAAGCAGCUGCCAUCUUCCCCAGGAGCAGAGCGGCCCCUCUGUCCCUGCUUGCGGGGAAGGUGCUCUCGGCUGGACCAGGAGGUGGAAGUGCCCAGCCUUCUGGUGGAGGAAACCCGCUCCCGGCACAGGUGCCAAGGUGGGAGAGGCACUGGCCAGGCUGAAAUGGAGCUGGCCCAGGAUGCAGCUGGGCAGGCAGGACCCAGCCCAGGACGGAAGCUGGGCAGGGUGGCUCUGGGGAUUGUUGUGUGGGGAGCAUCAGCCCCAGGAGCCCAGCCCUGAUUCCCAGCAGGAGGCAUCGCCCUGCCCAGUCACUGAGGACCUUCCAGCCUCCCCAGGGCAGGAGGUGGAGGAUCCCUGUCCCAGCACCAGCAACUCGGCCUGCUCCCCAUGGGACAGCAGAAGCGCCUGGGACUCGGGCUGCAGCGAGGCCGAUGGGCACCGCUGCUUUGUUCCAGGGACCCCCAGGGACUCAGAGGAGGAGGAGGAGGAGGAACGGGUGGACAUGGCCACAGAGGAGGCUGCUCUCAAGAACAUCCAAGAGCAGCUCCAGGGCCGAGAAAAGGAUGAGGCCCAGCAGCUCAUGUUCCUGCAUGCCAUCCACCCCGCAUGUCUUGCUGCACAGCAGAGAGGGCAGGACACAUUGGAGCCACACUGCUGCAAGGCGGCUGUAGUGGAGAGGAUUGUGCACCAUGACACCUGGCCUGGAGCCAGAGCUGCAGACCCUCCUCCUUCGAGCUGCCCUGCAUGCCGUCUUCACCCUGGGCACAGAGAAGGACACCACCCAAGUCCAGGAUGUGCAUAGGGUAUUGCCAGACCUCUUGGGGAACUUGCUGGCAGAGUCCCCAGACACCAACAGGCUCCACUACAUCUUGGAGCACAUUAACUACUGGAUCGUGUCCAGGGUGUUGCAAGAGAGAGGCAGGACCACUGAGAGCAGCACGGCCCUGCUCAGAUCCACCAUCAACCUCCCUGAGUUUGAAGGCUGACCAUCCAUGAGGCCGAAGCCCUGUGGUGUUGGGACUGGCACCGGGACAGCAGGCUCCUGGGCUACAGGAACACAGCCAGGGCGGGGGAGGUCUUCGGAAAGUUCUUCUCGGAGAGACAGAGAAGAUCCUUCCUCCGGACGGCAGUGCUGGCCAUCCACAACCCCCUGCUGCAUGUCAGCCAGACUGGGCUGCUCCUCCCCUACUCCCUCCUGGGGGAAGCCCAGCAGCUGGUGGGGGACAAGCAGGAGGACUUCACGGCCAAUGUGAUGCGCCACCUCCGCAUCAUCCGGCACUUGCGCCAGGUGCCUGAGGCACUGCAGGGGCUGUGCCUCUGAGGCCAUCAGCAACUCCCGCUCCCUGCUGCAGGAAGGGGCUCUCCAGAGAUGUCUUCGAACCUGGACUCCUGAGAGCGUUUCCGGCAGGAGGCUUCAGCCCCUCCGGCAUGAAGAGAACUUCAGUUUGGGAUGAGCGCGACCCAGAAAGGAAUGGACUAAAAGACGGUCACCUGGCUGAAGGGCUGAGUUCCCAGACAAAAAACUGCCAGAGUGCCCUAGCGACUAUCAGUGGGGGUGCUAACCCAGCAAGAAAGCUGUGACACCAGGCCUUUUCAGGAAGGGGCACCUAUCGGCUCCGAAGAAGGCCUGCCCAGAGACGUGGAUGCCAUACUGAAGAGCCUGCUGACAGCAAUCCCCAGCACAGACAGACUUCAGCACAUCUUGGAGGCUCCGAAGAAGGCCUGCCCAGAGAUGUGGAUGCCAUGCUGAAGAGCCUGCUGACAGCAAUCCUCAGCACAGACAGACUUCAGCACAUCUUAUUGUGUCCAGGAUCCUGGAUAAUGUUUUCUGCAGGAGGUUUGAGCGGGGAGAGAUCACUCACUGUUACAACCCAGGGGUCUUCAACCCGGGUCUGCAGGGUUCAUGGGAGCAGCCACGCUCCAACCCUUCACCUAGAAGCCUGCUGAAAAUUGCUUACCUAGGACCCAUGAAGUUCAGCUCCAGUUUGAGGCUCCACUCCUGAGGUCCUAUUGGAGGAGUCCCAGAGAAGCUAAUUGGCCCUCUGGCCCUGCGUAAGGCAGCAGCAGGAACAGGAAGCUGACUGAACACCAGGGCUGCUCUGUGUUCUGGACCAUGUGCUGCCUGUUUCUGCUGCCGCUCCCCUGGCUUGAUUUCCUGGCAUCUGAUUUGUGGCUGUGAUCGCAAGUUUGUCUUUUGCUUCUGAUCUGCCAGUAUCCCGACCCAGCUGCCUCUCGACUCCUGUCAUGGUUCACCAGCCAUCUUGGAGAUGAACACCAGAUGGGAGCUGAUAGAUUGUCCUUGGUGGGCCAUGUUCUUGUGUGUGAUGGAGCUGUGUGCCAGAGAGGGCCAGGAGCAGGCGCACCACACAUGGCCGGGACUGGGCUAAACAGCCUGUAAUGCUAGAUAGUAAGCCAGUGAGGCCAUUUUGCAGAAUGUGGAAGAGCCAUUUGGCGAUGGGUUGGAGGAUUCACCAUGUAGGUGGCAGCAGCUGCAGUGCCUAGGGUCCCCAUGGGCCAAGCCUCCACUCCUGACACUCCAGUCUAAUCUCUCACUGCUCUCAGUGGGGCUUUGGCUUUAGCUGCUGGGCCUGCAUGCCUAGACGGAAGACUCAGGUAUUUACAUCAGGCUGCUGAAUGGCAAAUGCAGCCAUCCAAAGAAGUGAAGAAGAAUGGAAGUGAAAGAGCAAAGCUGGACCAUCUGCUGAGCUACUGCAAUCAAGCGAGCAGAGCCGGGGAGAGAAGAGGGAGAACUCGAAGGUGGCUGGUGGCCGUAGGGAGGAAAGACAGUUUGGAAGCCAGGAGAGUAGAAAUAAAUAGUU